GUGCGGUUAGUUUCUCCAAUCUGCUGGCAGCUACUUUUUUCUGACUGAUUGAUUGCGCUUGUCCUGUAAACAUUGAAAAUGCAUUGCCAAUUUGCCAUCAGGUCCAUGGGCUAUUAAACACACAUUAACCAACAUUCUAGGUUGGUUACAUUCUAGGUUGGUUACAUUCUAGGUUAGUUACAUUCUAGGCAACGUCAGCUAAGUUUCCAUCCAAUCGAUGACAGAUUUUCAUAUGAAUAUUCU